rnacentral:rRNA from 1 species
GACGAACGCUGGCGGCGUGCCUAAUACAUGCAAGUCGAGCGCAGGAAGCUGACGGAACUCUUCGGAGGGAAGGCAGUGGAAUGAGCGGCGGACGGGUGAGUAACACGUAAGGAACCUGCCUCAAGGAUUGGGAUAACUCCGAGAAAUCGGAGCUAAUACCGGAUAGUUCAACGGACCGCAUGGUCCGCUGAUGAAAGGCGCUUCGGCGUCACCUCGAGAUGGCCUUGCGGUGCAUUAGCUAGUUGGUGGGGUAACGGCCCACCAAGGGGACGGUGCAUAGCCGACCGGGGAGGGUGAUCGGCCACACUGGGACUGAGACACGGCCCAGACUCCUACGGGAGGCAGCAGUAGGGAAUCUUCCACAAUGGACGAAAGUCUGAUGGAGCAACGCCGCGUGAGUGAUGAAGGUUUUCGGAUCGUAAAACUCUGUUGUAAGGGAAGAACACGUACGAGAGGGAAUGCUCGUACCUUGACGGUACCUUACGAGAAAGCCACGGCUAACUACGUGCCAGCCGCCGCUGUAACAC